rnacentral:rRNA from 1 species
AGUGAACGCUGGCGGUAGGCCUAACACAUGCAAGUCGAACGGCAGCACAGUAAGAGCUUGCUCUUACGGGUGGCGAGUGGCGGACGGGUGAGGAAUACAUCGGAAUCUACUUUUUCGUGGGGGAUAACGUAGGGAGACUUACGCUAAUACCGCAUACGACCUACGGGUGAAAGCAGGGGAUCUUCGGACCUUGCGCGAUUGAAUGAGCCGAUGUCGGAUUAGCUAGUUGGCGGGGUAAAGGCCCACCAAGGCGACGAUCCGUAGCUGGUCUGAGAGGAUGAUCAGCCACACUGGAACUGAGACACGGUCCAGACUCCUACGGGAGGCAGCAGUGGGGAAUAUUGGACAAGGGGCGCAAGCAUGAUCCAGCCAUACCGCGUGGGUGAAGAAGGCCUUCGGGUUGUAAAGCCCUUUUGUUGGGAAAGAAAAGCAGCAGGUUAAUACCCCGCUGUUCUGACGGUACCCAAAGAAUAAGCACCGGCUAACUUCGUG